rnacentral:rRNA from 1 species
UACGAAGGGGGCUAGCGUUGUUCGGAAUCACUGGGCGUAAAGCGCACGUAGGCGGAUCUUUAAGUCAGGGGUGAAAUCCCGAGGCUCAACCUCGGAACUGCCUUUGUUAUUGGGGAUCUCGAGUCCGGGAGAGGUGAGUGGAACUGCGAGUGUAGAGGUGAAAUUCGUAGAUAUUCGCAAGAACACCAGUGGCGAAGGCGGCUCACUGGCCCGGUACUGACGCUGAGGCACGAAAGCGUGGGGAGCAAACAGG